rnacentral:rRNA from 1 species
CUUCAUACAUGCAAGUCGAGCGGACAGAAGGGAGCUUGCUCCCGGAUGUUAGCGGCGGACGGGUGAGUAACACGUGGGUAACCUGCCUGUAAGACUGGGAUAACUCCGGGAAACCGGAGCUAAUACCGGAUAGUUCCUUGAACCGCAUGGUUCAAGGAUGAAAGACGGUUUCGGCUGUCACUUACAGAUGGACCCGCGGCGCAUUAGCUAGUUGGUGGGGUAAUGGCUCACCAAGGCGACGAUGCGUAGCCGACCUGAGAGGGUGAUCGGCCACACUGGGACUGAGACACGGCCCAGACUCCUACGGGAGGCAGCAGUAGGGAAUCUUCCGCAAUGGACGAAAGUCUGACGGAGCAACGCCGCGUGAGUGAUGAAGGUUUUCGGAUCGUAAAGCUCUGUUGUUAGGGAAGAACAAGUGCGAGAGUAACUGCUCGCACCUUGACGGUACCUAACCAGAAAGCCACGGCUAACUACGUGCCAGCAGCCGCGGUAAUACGUAGGUGGCAAGCGUUGUCCGGAAUUAUUGGGCGUAAAGGGCUCGCAGGCGGUUUCUUAAGUCUGAUGUGAAAGCCCCCGGCUCAACCGGGGAGGGUCAUUGGAAACUGGGAAACUUGAGUGCAGAAGAGGAGAGUGGAAUUCCACGUGUAGCGGUGAAAUGCGUAGAGAUGUGGAGGAACACCAGUGGCGAAGGCGACUCUCUGGUCUGUAACUGACGCUGAGGAGCGAAAGCGUGGGGAGCGAACAGGAUUAGAUACCCUGGUAGUCCACGCCGUAAACGAUGAGUGCUAAGUGUUAGGGGGUUUCCGCCCCUUAGUGCUGCAGCUAACGCAUUAAGCACUCCGCCUGGGGAGUACGGUCGCAAGACUGAAACUCAAAGGAAUUGACGGGGGCCCGCACAAGCGGUGGAGCAUGUGGUUUAAUUCGAAGCAACGCGAAGAACCUUACCAGGUCUUGACAUCCUCUGACAACCCUAGAGAUAGGGCUUUCCCUUCGGGGACAGAGUGACAGGUGGUGCAUGGUUGUCGUCAGCUCGUGUCGUGAGAUGUUGGGUUAAGUCCCGCAACGAGCGCAACCCUUGAUCUUAGUUGCCAGCAUUCAGUUGGGCACUCUAAGGUGACUGCCGGUGACAAACCGGAGGAAGGUGGGGAUGACGUCAAAUCAUCAUGCCCCUUAUGACCUGGGCUACACACGUGCUACAAUGGACAGAACAAAGGGCUGCAAGACCGCAAGGUUUAGCCAAUCCCAUAAAUCUGUUCUCAGUUCGGAUCGCAGUCUGCAACUCGACUGCGUGAA